rnacentral:rRNA from 1 species
UACGUAUGGAGCAAGCGUUAUCCGGAUUUACUGGGCGUAAAGGGUGCGUAGGCGGUCGGAUAAGUUAGAGGUGAAAUCCCGAGGCUCAACUUCGGAAUUGCCUCUGAUACUGUUCGGCUAGAGAGUAGUUGCGGUAGGCGGAAUGUAUGGUGUAGCGGUGAAAUGCUUAGAGAUCAUACAGAACACCGAUUGCGAAGGCAGCGUACCGGCUCCACACUGACGCUGAGGCACGAAAGCGUGGGUAUCGAACAGG